GACGAACGCUGGCGGCGUGCUUAACACAUGCAAGUCGAACGGAAAGGCCCUGCUUGCAGGGUACUCGAGUGGCGAACGGGUGAGUAACACGUGGGUGAUCUGCCCUGCACUUCGGGAUAAGCUUGGGAAACUGGGUCUAAUACCGGAUAGGAGCCAUCUUUAGUGUGGUGGUUGGAAAGUUUUUUCGGUGUAGGAUGAGCUCGCGGCCUAUCAGCUUGUUGGUGGGGUAAUGGCCUACCAAGGCGGCGACGGGUAGCCGGCCUGAGAGGGUGUACGGCCACAUUGGGACUGAGAUACGGCCCAGACUCCUACGGGAGGCAGCAGUGGGGAAUAUUGCACAAUGGGCACAAGCCUGAUGCAGCGACGCCGCGUGGGGGAUGAAGGCCUUCGGGUUGUAAACUCCUUUCGCUAGGGACGAAGCUUUUUGUGACGGUACCUAGAUAAGAAGCACCGGCUAACUACGUG
rnacentral:rRNA from 1 species